GACAGAGGGGGCAAGCGUUGCUCGGAAUUACUGGGCGUAAAGCGCGCGUAGGCGGCCCGGUAAGUCCGUUGUGAAAGUCAAAGGCUCAACCUUUGAACGCCGAUGGAUACUGCCGGGCUAGAGUCCGGAAGAGGCGAGUGGAAUUCCUGGUGUAGCGGUGGAAUGCGCAGAUAUCAGGAGGAACACCAAUAGCGAAGGCAGCUCGCUGGGACGGUACUGACGCUGAGGCGCGAAAGCGUGGGGAGCGAACAGG
rnacentral:rRNA from 1 species